UAUUUCUUUCUUUUUCUUUUUCUUCUUUCUUUUUUUCUUCUUUCUUCCUCCUCCUUCUCUCGGCAACCCCCAAGGUUGAAAGCGCCGCCGCUGUACUCGUCCUCGGCUCCUCUCCGCGCUUGGUGGCCGACGAUUCCAAGUGGUGGUUUUGGUGGUUGCGGUGGCGGUGGUUGCGCGACGGUGGUGGUGAUGUCACGGUGGCGGUGCGGCGACGGGGAUGGUUACGGGAGGAGGCUUUAGGCUGCUGUUUCUUGAAUGUUUUGCUGCUGUUUUUUUUUUCAAUUUUUUUCUGCAAAAACCCCUCCGCCUCUCUUUCUCUCAUUUUCUUCAUUUAAAUCCUUCAAUUUUGUCUUCUUCCUUGUUGUCUUCAGGUGGCAGUGGAGAAGGGAGGCCAUGCAUUGGGCCGGCGGCCGAAAAUCGCGGAGGGCAGGUGCGCAAAUGGCGCCUGUUUGCCAGAGGGACCAGAUUGCAAAUGCAACAAAACUUCUGGGUCCAAGUGUAAUUUCGAGAAAAUUUAGGGGUCAAAAUAUAACUUCGAGAAGUUCAUAGGUUAAAAUGUAAUUUUAGAAAAGUUAAAGGGUCAAAACACAAUUUUAAAAAAGUUAAGGGGUUAAAAUGUAAUUUUUUUAUUUUUGUAUUUUUUGUAUUUUUUUUGAAAAUUAAAGCCGGACAAAAUUUAGUGUUUACAA